rnacentral:rRNA from 1 species
GCCUUGGCAGUCUCAGGCGAUGAAGGACGUAUUAACUUGCGAUAAGCCCAGAUUAGGCAGUAAAAGCCACUUGAGUCUGGGAUUUCCGAAUGGGGAAACCCACUUGCAUAAGCAAGUAUCAUUAACUGAAUACAUAGGUUAAUGAAGCGAACCGGGGGAACUGAAACAUCUAAGUACCCCGAGGAAGAGAAAUCAACCGAGAUUCCGGUAGUAGCGGCGAGCGAAACCGGAUUAGCCCUUAAGCUAGUUCUGCGUUAGGUGAAUGUGCUGGAAAGCACAGCGAUACAGGGUGAUAGCCCCGUAACCAAAAAUGCAUUAAUAGUGAAAUCGAGUA